rnacentral:rRNA from 1 species
AGCGAACGCUGGCGGCAGGCCUAACACAUGCAAGUCGAACGAAGUCUUCGGACUUAGUGGCGGACGGGUGAGUAACACGUGGGAACGUGCCUUUAGGUUCGGAAUAACUCAGGGAAACUUGUGCUAAUACCGAAUGUGCCCUUCGGGGGAAAGAUUUAUCGCCUUUAGAGCGGCCCGCGUCUGAUUAGCUAGUUGGUGAGGUAAAGGCUCACCAAGGCUACGAUCAGUAGCUGGUCUGAGAGGAUGACCAGCCACAUUGGGACUGAGACACGGCACAAACUCCUACGGGAGGCAGCAGUUGGGAAUCUUGCGCAAUGGGCGAAAGCUUGACGCAGCCAUGCCGCGUGGAUGAUGAAGGUCUUAGGAUUGUAAAAUCCUUUCACCGGUGAAGAUAAUGACUGUAGCCGGAGAAGAAGCCCCGGCUAACUUCGUGCCAGCAGCCGCAGUAAAAC